CAUCACCUCGGCGUGAACCCUUCAGGCCAAAGUCUGAAGCAUUUGGUGGGUCACCUGCCUGAGGCCUGAGAUCUGACUGAGACAGGGCAGGAUUUCCUGUGGAUUAAGCUCUUGUAGACCUUUUCUGAGGAACCUGUCGCAAUCAGGUUUCCUGAGUGUGGAUGUGGGAGGAGUGAACUGAAAGACCAGAGCCCAGCGGUUACUGCCCACACCCUGGGGCUGGGCAGCGGCGGUGACAACGCCAGCUUUUCUCCCUUCCGUGGACUGCAUGACCCAGGAAGGACCCCUGGACCGGCUGAAGAGCCACUAUGAUCCCUAAGCUACUGCCCUUCCUCUGUUUCAGGCUGUGUGUUGGCCAAGGAGACAUAAGGGGAAAUGGGUCCCUGCCCAAGCCCUCCCUCGGUGCCUGGCCCAGCUCGGUGGCCCCUGCCAGCAGCAACGUGACCCUGCGAUGCUGGACUCCCGCCAGGGGCGUGCACUUUGCUCUCAGAAAGGGAGGGGCUGCUUUGAG
rnacentral:lncRNA from 1 species